rnacentral:tRNA from 1 species
UUAAUUGAAACCAAACUGAGGUAUAUCAUUGUUAAUGAUAUCAUUGAAUUAUUAUUCCAAUUAAU